UCCCCUGCCUCUGCUGGACUGUCACUGGGGAGGAGGGGAGGCUCUCUCUUUCUGUCUCAUUCACAGACACAGACACACACACUGUGUGCCAUCGUUUCAAGGUGAGAGGGGGCGGCGAAAGUGUCCCCUCCGGAGAGGAUCAAGAAAGAGACUCCUUGAUGUCGUUGACAAGAAUGCCACCCAGGAAGGGGACUUUUCCAAACGUCAAGUGAGAGGGGACAAAAACUGGAGGAUUUCUCGUCUGAUUGUAAAUGAACUACAGACAGCAUCCAUAAAGGAUGCUGCAAUUAACCAAUAAGGCAUGACAGAGAAUAUGACCAUCGGCGCAGGAUAAUCGUGUCCUUGGGGUAAAGCAGAAAAUGAAGAACAGAUGAGUACUUGGAAUUCCCUAAGGGAGUGAUUAACCCAUGAUAGCUGUAGCUACUGGAGAGGCCACAUUGCUAUUACAAAUUGUUUUGCUUUCAUGUAAAAUAUGUAUGAUUUAA